rnacentral:rRNA from 1 species
CCUACGGGAGGCAGCAGUGGGGAAUAUUGCACAAUGGAGGGAACUCUGAUGCAGCGACGCCGCGUGAGUGAAGAAGUAAUUCGUUAUGUAAAGCUCUAUCAGCAGGGAAGAAAGUGACGGUACCUGAAAAAGAAGCCCCGGCUAAAUACGUGCCAGCAGCCGCGGUAAUACGUAGGGAGCAAGCGUUAUCCGGAUUUACUGGGUGUAAAGGGAGCGUAGACGGCAAGGCAAGCCAGAAGUGAAAGGGCAGGGCUCAACCCUGUACAUGCUUUUGGAACUGUGGUGCUAGAGUGCAGGAGAGGUAAGUGGAAUUCCUAGUGUAGCGGUGAAAUGCGUAGAUAUUAGGAGGAACACCAGUGGCGAAGGCGGCUUACUGGACUGUAACUGACGUUGAGGCUCGAAAGCGUGGGGAGCAAACAGGAUUAGAUACCCCUGUAGUC